UGGAGGGAUCCCACAUCGAGAAGCUAACAUAAGAGUGGAUGCGAAGCUGGCUUUAAAUAGAGGGAACCAUGAGGAGAGUAAAGGUACCUUUCUUGGCUGAUCCCUUUCGUUGUAUGGCGUGCUCGUUUGGGUUGGGCGUCGGCUAAGAGUGCUCGGAGCGUGGAUUAACUCCAGUCUCCUAUCAGGUGUGUAUUUCUCGCUACUCUAGCUGUAGGAUGGCUACUUUGGGCCGCGAUAGGCCGAAAGGGGCUAUGUGGGCCCAAUGGGCCUACGGGCCCAAUUGAAUAAAUUGUUUGAUUGUGUAGUAAAUAUUGGACUAGGCAAGGAGAAUCUCAUAUUUGUGGCUAGAUUUGGGCUAAAAGGGCCACACGAGCGUGUGGGCCCAUUUGGGCCGAGAAUAGGCUUUAAGGCCAUUUGUAUUGUUAUCCAUGUUUAGAAUACUUUAGUUUACCAAUUAUUGAAAUGCCCUCGACUUGUAAAAUUACCAAAGUACCCUCGAUUUAUAAAAUUAUCGUUUUACUGUCGAUUUACAAAAUUACCAUUUUACCCUCAAUUUACAAAAUUACCGUUUGACCCUCGAUUGUGAAAUUACUAAAAUACCCCUGUAGGAUAGAAUUACCAAAAUACCCCUAGUUUGUAAAAUUACCAAAAUACCCCUAGUUUGAAAAUUACCGAAAUACCACUGGUUUGUGAAAUUACCGAAAUACCCUCAAUUUGUAAAAUUACCAAAAUACCCCUAAUUUACAAAAUUGCAAGAAUACCCUUGACUUUCUAAAAAUUAUAGAAAUACCAUUGGUUUACAAAAUUACUGAAAUACCCUUGGUUUGUAUAUUUUCCAAAACACCCUUGUAGGAUGAAAUGACUAAAAUACCCCUAAUAGGUAAAAAGACCGUAAAGCCUCUGUAGGGUAAAGUGACUGUAAUACCCCUGUAUGGUAAAAUGUCGAAUAUGCCCUUAUGUUUCGUAUGACUGAUGUACUUAGGAUUUACAUAUAUUGAUAUUGGAAAAGUUAAUUUGAGUGACAAGUGGUGGUUAUCGUAGGUGAUUGAUUAUGGAAACAUUUCAACUUCAACCCGUAACAGGUGUGUGCUACCCCUCGUAAUAGCUUAGAUUAAUAUUUGCUGAGAAGCCGAAAUGCUAAAAUCCCAGCAUUUCGGGAACUUGAGAUUUUGCAUGUGGUUUUAGAUGCGAUAAAAAUGAUAUGAUCGGUGUUUGGAUCGAUGGAGCAGGUAAGAGCGCAAUUUUGUGCACGAUGGUAAGUUGGGCCUCAAGGGGCUGGAAUUGGGCCUAAUGGGCUUUCGGGCCCAUUUGGGUAAAAUUGAUAGGAAAUGGAAUUUGGAAAAGUUGCAUGUUAACACGGUUAGUACUAUUGUAAAAUUUGGAUUAUGUGGGCUUAAUGGGCUAAAUCGGCAUUCGUAGGGCCCAUUAGAGGUUUUGGGCCAAAAGCCCGAAUUUGAUUAAGUGGGUUAAAGAUCAUUGUUUAAACACUCAGAAAUAUUGACAAUUGUAAUGAACAUGGAAAACCCUAAUAUUUGGUAAAAUUACAAAAAUACCCUUCUAAUAUGAAAAAUAACUGUUUUGCCCUUGUGGGCAAGUGACUGACUUGGACUGUGUGGUUGACGGACUUGAUUGUGAAUAUAUGUUGGUGAUAUGAAUGACUUGAUUGUGAUUGUUUGAUUCAAAUAUGGGCAUGAAAUUCUGCAUACAUAACAUAUUGUAUGGGAUGGGUUUUAUAUGGAUGGAGGAAGUGCAAAAGGGCUAUGCCCCAGUUACCGAAAAGGGCUUUGCCCCAGGUUACCGAAAAGGGCUUUUGCCCCAGUUUAUCAAAAAGGGCUUUGCCCCAGUUAUUAAAAGAGGCUAGGCCUCCAGUUAUAUGAUAAAGCAGCUAUGCUACCAGUGGAGAGUUUGGUUAGGUGGGUUGAGUUAUUCCCUACAUGGAGAGCUUGGUUGGUACGGGUGGAGAGUAGCGGAUGGUGGGUUGAGUAGUCUCCCCAAAUGGGCUUGUAUAUAUCCAUUGACAUUACAUGUGAUAUUGAAAUGGGCCUAAGGGCCAUACCAUUUACAGUAAAGGCUUCGGCCCAGUGAUAUGAUUUAUGAAAAGGCUUCGGUCCAGUGAUAUGAUUUAUGAAAAGGCUUCAGCCCAGUAACCGUUGAACAAAAGGCUUCGGCCCAGUAUAUGUCGAGACUGAAUAGGGCUUUGGCCUAGAUUGUACUGAUACUGUGUUUUCACUGUUUGUUUGUUAUUGAGAUUACACACUGAGUUUUCGUAAACUCAUCUCGUUUCUAACUGUGCAGGUAAUCCCUAAGCUUAGAUGGUUUGGAGCUGCGUGGGACUCGGAGAUGGCCACACUACUGUUUCUGUUUCUUUUAAUUGCAAUAAGUAGCCGAUUUAUUUCUUUAUAAGUUUUAUCUUAUUAAUAUUAUUAUUUGGUUUUGGGUUGUAAUAAGGCCAUUUUAAUUAUUUUUCUGGGAUUAUUUUAUCUUAUACCCUAUAUUUUU
rnacentral:lncRNA from 1 species